AUUGAACGCUGGCGGCAUGCCUUACACAUGCAAGUCGAACGGCAGCGGGGGGGAAGCUUGCUUUUCCUGCCGGCGAGUGGCGAACGGGUGAGUAAUACAUCGGAACGUGCCCUGUAGUGGGGGAUAACUAGUCGAAAGAUUAGCUAAUACCGCAUACGACCUGAGGGGGAAAGAGGGGGACCGCAAGGCCCCAUGCUAUAGGAGCGGCCGAUGUCUGAUUAGCGAGUUGGUGGGGUAAAGGCCUACCAAGGCGACGAUCAGUAGCUGGUCUGAGAGGACGAUCAGCCACACUGGGACUGAGACACGGCCCAGACUCCUACGGGAGGCAGCAGUGGGGAAUUUUGGACAAUGGGCGAAAGCCUGAUCCAGCAAUGCCGCGUGUGUGAAGAAGGCCUUCGGGUUGUAAAGCACUUUUGUCCGGAAAGAAAUGGCUCUGGUUAAUACCUGGGGUCGAUGACGGUACCGGAAGAAUAAGGACCGGCUAACUACGUGCCAGCAGCCGCCGUAA
rnacentral:rRNA from 1 species